GACAGAGGGGGCAAGCGUUGCUCGGAAUUACUGGGCGUAAAGGGCGCGUAGGCGGGAUGGCAAGUCGGUCGUGAAAUCCCUCGGCUCAACCGAGGAACGUCGAUCGAUACUGCUGUUCUUUGAGGAUUGCAGAGGAGACUGGAAUUCCCGGGUGUAGCGGUGAAAUGUGUAGAGAUCGGGAGGAACACCGGUGGCGAAGGCGGGUCUCUGGGCAAUUCCUGACGCUGAGGCGCGAAAGCGUGGGGAGCAAACGG
rnacentral:rRNA from 1 species